ensembl:lncRNA
AUGGAACAGCCUGGACCGCUCGCCUGUAGCAUAACCUUUCUCAACAGAGGGAGCCGGACAUUCUUUGCAGGCACCACCACAAAACCUGUCUCAAAAAAUCCUCCUCCUGUUUGUCCUUUGAAAAGCGGAGUCCAUUUGAAGAUGCUCUCCUUCUCCCAUGGGAAACCUCUGAGAUGCUCCAGAGAAAACAGGACACAAGGGUACCUGAGCUGGAAGCCGAGGACGGAGGGUGAGAAUUUUCAUAUCUCUAUUUUUAUUGUCAGUACGAAAUCAGGACUGCCUGGCUCUGAAGUUGAAAGCACAUAAACCAAGUUCUGGUAUGUAAGCCUAC